UACGUAGGGCGCAAGCGUUAUCCGGAAUUAUUGGGCGUAAAGAGCUCGUAGGCGGUUUGUCGCGUCUGCCGUGAAAGUCCGGGGCUCAACUCCGGAUCUGCGGUGGGUACGGGCAGACUAGAGUGAUGUAGGGGAGACUGGAAUUCCUGGUGUAGCGGUGAAAUGCGCAGAUAUCAGGAGGAACACCGAUGGCGAAGGCAGGUCUCUGGGCCGAUACUGACGCUGAGGAGCGAAAGCGUGGGGAGCAAACGGG
rnacentral:rRNA from 1 species